rnacentral:rRNA from 1 species
CGGACAAUAGGGCGCAAGCCUGAUCCAGCCAUGCCGCGUGCAGGAAGAAG